rnacentral:rRNA from 1 species
AAUUUGAAAUCUGGCACUUUCAGUGUCCGAGUUGUAAUUUGAAGAAGGUAUCUUUGGGUCUGGCUCUUGUCUAUGUUUCUUGGAACAGAACGUCACAGAGGGUGAGAAUCCCGUGCGAUGAGAUGUCCCAGACCUAUGUAAAGUUCCUUCGAAGAGUCGAGUUGUUUGGGAAUGCAGCUCUAAGUGGGUGGUAAAUUCCAUCUAAAGCUAAAUAUUGGCGAGAGACCGAUAGCGAACAAGUACAGUGAUGGAAAGAUGAAAAGAACUUUGAAAAGAGAGUGAAAAAGUACGUGAAAUUGUUGAAAGGGAAGGGCUUGAGAUCAGACUUGGUAUUUUGUAUGUUACUCUCUCGGGGGUGGCCUCUACAGUUUACCGGGCCAGCAUCAGUUUGAGCGGUAGGAUAAGUGCAAAGAAAUGUGGCACUGCUUCGGUAGUGUGUUAUAGUCUUUGUCGAUACUGCCAGCUUAGACUGAGGACUGCGGCUUCGGCCUAGGAUGUUGGCAUAAUGAUCUUAAGUCGCCC